UAAAUUUUUAUUUAUGACCAUCUUGUUAAAUAAUUUUACUAAUAAAUAAUACUACUACUAUUAAACUUAUAAAUAAGUUUAAAGGGUAUUGUUAUAGCUUAUUUUGUUCUCGUGUCCUUAAUUGUGUUGUGGUAAUCCAUACUUGCAGCUUGUAAAAAAAGUAACUAUUAGACAUAGAUUAGCAUAGAUUUAUUUAAUAUUUAAAUAUAAAUAUUAUAAUGUACAUAAUAAAAUGUAUAUACAUGCACUAUAUACAUGCACAGCAUAGAAGCAAAUAGAAAAUAAGAUAAUUUUUUUAUCGCGUUUUUUAGAAAAUAGUAAUAGAAAAGUAGUAAUAGAAAAAUGUUAUUUUGCGUGCUUUAUUAAACUUUGCAAGUCACAUGCUGUGCUAUUUAAACAUAAUGACAAUAAUGUUACAUUAUAAAUAUAUUUUAUAACAUAAAAUAUAUGAAUUCAAAACAAACGUAUCACUUAAAACUUAAAUUUGUAAUUUAAAGCAACAUAAUAAAAAUGUGUAUUCAACAAAUACUUAUGUACUUAUGAGGUACAUAUUUGAAUCUAGAUACAUUAUAUAUUAAACAUAUUAUUAUUAAACUUUUCAGACUUAACCUUACUCACUUAUGAAACGUUUGUUGUUUAUUUUCACUUCCUUUUCCACAAUAAACACAUUUUUUAAUUUUGGAAUCUCACUAUUUUACAAUUUUACUAUUUUUAUUAUAAAAAAAGUAAUAUUUUGGAUAAAACUGCUACACAUCUACGUCUAUAGAUAAUUAAUUACACGUGGAAUUUCGUAUCAUCGUCACAGUAAACUGUGUUCGUAUUCGUAUACACCGCCAUAUUGUGUACAGAGACUACAACCUUCAAUUGGUCACACUUAUUUCGUUCUAUGCCAUAUCCACUUUAAUGAGAUCAGUGGUGGUUACUUUUUGCCAGGAAGAUCGAGGAUGGACUUUUCUUUAGGAUCUAGACCGGGUUCGAGAAAUCAACUAGUUUCUUGAGUAACAAGAUAUUCUUUUCAGGUUCCAGACUCCGACUGACUUGCUCCGGUUCCGCAUCUUCCUCGGAGCCGGGAGCUGACAGCCGGAAGAUACUUCUAACGCCAUCUGUGACGCCAUCUACCUCCGCUUUGGCCUCGCACGCCACCUAUUCCACGCCGCCAUCUUACAUAUACUGGUCUUACAACUGCUAUCCACCAUCUUGUACCCAUACGGAGACUGGAUGGGGGCUAGGGCCGGGGGCUGGGGUCUGGAGUAGUGGAGAUAGUAAACAAUGCGAGCCUGCUCCAAGUUACGAUCAAGUGAAGUUCUACAGACCACAAGAAAUCUGCUGGCAAAUAUUGACAAUCAGCAAAUUCUUUCAACCGCCAAUAAAAAUAUAAAUGAUAAUAUAGAUUCCAACAAUAAUGAUGAUAAAGAAAAUCAGAUAGAUCAAAGCAAUGAUACAGGGGUUAUAAAUUGUAACAAUAAUAUAAACAAUACUGUGGAUUUUGAAAUCUACCCAACGGAGGAUAUGUGAACAUUUAGGUCCACAAAAUAUUGCUGGAAACGCAUCUCUAAUUCCAAUAAGAGAUAACUUAUUCGCACGAAAUGUAAUUUUCGAAGAUUUUCCAACAGGUAGCCAAAAUAUAAUUAAAAUUUUAGAGAACACGAUAGAGAUUAUAUAAAACGCAAUUAAGACGACAAAAUAAAUUUUUUGAACAAUUAAAACAAAAAAAUGAUGCAGUAAUAUUUGCAGCAGCAGGUCUAAGAGAUAAUAAUUUUUAAACUAUCCCUACAAAACCAUUUAAAAAGCAUCAAAAAUUACUGCAGUAUGACACUUCAUUGAAGAAUGAUGAAGAUGGAAAAAACAACUGAAAACAUUUUUCUAUUUGCUUGGAGGAGACACCCCAGGAUCAAAUAAAACAUAGCUUGAAAAAUAUGUUUUUCAAUAAAUUGGCUAUAAAAUGUUCAUGGAAAGGCUAGAAAGGAAACUUUGCCAUAAAUUCACUUCUAAUAGAUAUUAUAAAAAAGGCUGCUCGAAAGCAUUAUCCAAUGUUAACAGAUAGAUACUUUCUAAGUCAUGUUUCCGCCUGGUUUAAAUAUGCCAAAACACGUUAUGAUAGAGAGCAGGCAAAAGCACUUAGAAAGCAGAUAGAAUAAUCAGUUUUGUUUGGAAAUGGAAUUACAAGGAAAUGUACCUCAUAUAUGAUGUUCAACCGAUCCUGCAAAUGCAUCAAUAGUGCAACAUUAAAAUAAUACAUAUAUUUAUUUUAUAAAUAUUAGAAAAACUUAAAAAUACGUAGUACAUGUUAUAAAUAUAUAAUGAUAUAUUUUAUGUUGUUGCUGUUUUAUAUUUUUUUUAUUUUAUCACAAUAUUGUAUAUGAAAAUAAAUGUAAUUAAUAUGCGAAUUUUUGUUUUUCACUGAUCGUAUUAUGUACUGAUCGUAUUAUACACAUGUAUAAACGAAUGUAUAAAGCCCAAUCUACAAUGAAUCAUUAAUUGUUGAUCAGAGUGUCUGAAGUCCUAAGUCAUAAGAAAUGAUAUUUGCAAAUGCCAUCUCUUAUAACUUAGAACUUCAGACACUCUGAUCAACGAUUAUAUGACUUAUUGUAGAUUAAGCUGUAUACAUUUGUUACAAAAACGUUGCAAAUUAACCGUGAAGCGGAAAAUAGUUCCCGGAACGUUGUAUAAAGAACGUUGUAUAAACGUUAUUUUAGGAAUAAAAGUUUGUAACGUUUCC